rnacentral:lncRNA from 1 species
CGACGUUGUGUUUCUAUGCGAAUUAUGUUAUUCUAAUUAUGCUUUUGAGACCUAACUGAUGUGGUUUGGAUAUUAAUACGAUUGUGGUAUAUGUUGGAUUAAAUGAAUAUAUUUGGAUUUGGUUUAAAUUUUGGAUAUGUGAACUACGAAUGGCUUGAUCCCUGCUUAGGGUACGUAGGCAGUCUAACGAGACGUUUGAUGCAACCAUACAAUAAGUGAGAUUAAAUAAUCGAGAAUUAAUAUUUAGAUGGAAUUUUGACCUAAGAGAAGGGAAUGGUUCUAAAUUGGAAGUGAAAUUGUAUGUUUUGGUAAAUGAUUAAUGGUUAUGGAUUACGUGGGAUGAAGGAAAUUAUUUGGAGAAUAAUGACUAAUGAUAGUGAAGUCAAAUGUUAAUUUAAAGAUAUGUUUUGACAUUAAAAAUAAAUAAAAAUAUGGAUAGCUUGUAAGAAUUUGAAUUAUUGACUUAGAGGAAUGUGAUUAAUGGAAAUAAAUUAACUAUGAUUUUAAUUUGGGCCUAUCAACAAAAUUAAUCCCCGAAAAUAAAUAUUUCGGGGCCGGGGCAUUACAAGUAUAUUUGAGUCGGUCGAUGAUCACCCAAAGCAGAUGCAACCUUCACUUGGGCGAAGUAACUUGUACAUGAAGUCCAUGGUGACAUCCUCCACUUCCAGACUGAAAUAGGAAGUGGUUAAAACAAAUGGAAUGUUGUAAAAUCGAUUGUGGGUGCAGUGGAAUAAAUGAAACAAGACACAAAAUUUACGAGGUUCCUCUACAGUCAGUGUGACUGGAGUACGUCCUCGGGGCAGCAGUGGUGCUUUCAUUAUAAUUUGAAAUAAUAGGAGUACAAAGAUAACUCUCUCUAUUAUCUCCUCUCAUCUUCCUCUAUUCUCUCUCUUCCUCUUCCUUCCUUCCUCUCUUUCUUUCCCGUGAACUCCCCUCACUUCAUUCCUCUUCUUCCUUUGUAUAAACAAAAGAAAGCACUAUUCACUUUACAAAUUUUCCACAAAUGAAUAGUGAAAAUACUGUGCAUAAAUAGUAACAAACUAUUCAUGUGGACCAUCCACGCACUAUUUACAACACUCCCCCUUGGAUGGCCACAAGUCUUCGAUUGACUCGUUAAAAUCUUGAUCUGUCUUGGAUGCUCUCCUUGAUGAGUAUCUCCCCCUGAUUUCAAAUCAUUUAGGUUGAUCGUUGAUCGUUCUGCUUUAGUCUCUUAGUAAGAAGAGUUGCUGAAAGAGGUGCUUUACUUGUUGUUAACUUUCCACAGGCUUGUUCUUGAACUAGGCUAGAGGACUUUCUGCUAGACUUGCAUCCAAAGGUCUGAAUUUACUCCUUUGAUCUGGAGCAGAUUUGAUUCAAAAGUGGUGGACACUUGAUCUUGAAUCAGACUUGUGAUUUCUUCAAGGACCUCAGAGGCUUGAUCUUGAAUAAAGUUGUACCGUGAAGAGCUUCACGUGGCAAGUGAUCUUCGACUUUGUCGGGGAUGAGUCAACACGUGUUUGUUGCGCUUGUCUCCACAUGCUGCAAUGUAUCAUUUUCACUUUCCUUACUUGCUCCCCUUGCUUAAGUAGUAUUUUCCUUGGUUUUCCCCCAUGCAUGUGUGGCAUAUUCUCCUGCAGUAUUUGCCUUAUGAUGUAGGAGUGGAAUGCAACCCUUGCAUUUGGAUGGUUCAUCACUUCUUGGUGACCGGAGACCCAGUUCUAACAACAAUUGAAGAUGACUACUCGAGAGCUAGGUAAGCAAUCGGGAAAGGUUCCAAGCAGUUUGUUCCUUACCUGGAGUUUAAGUGGAGGUUCCGACAUACUGCUUUCUUUAUCCUUGUCUUUGCAUGUAAGAACAAUGACAAAGGAAAGGACAGAGAGAUUGCAUGAUAUGAGAUAAUCUUGCUCUAGUCCCUGAAGAUAUGUGAUAAUCUUGCUCUGGUGUGACAUGUUUGAAGAGGUAUUCUCGGAAAGGAAGAAAACUGAGUAUUUCGAGAUGCUAUGUUGAAGAUGCAUUCUCGGAGAUGAGGAAGAGUUAGGUAUUCUUGCAGUGUUGCAGGUCUGCCUUGUUAUGGAGAACAGAGGUCGACAUAUAUAGAGAUUUCUCAAUAGCAAGUGGUGGUGCUGUGCUUUUACUCUUGUCAGCAACUGUGGUGUAAAUAGAACAGUAAGAUUUACGCGUUUUCAACUUUGUAAGAGAUCUUUGACAAAAUUGCACGCGACAUCUGAAAAAGCUGGGAUUACGUCUGAAAAAUGCCAACGAACUUUAUUCAGGAAAAUCUGGCUUUUGAAAUUCGGAGAGCGGUGCCUCUUCGAUCUUUGAACGAGUGGCUCUGCUGCCUCUUCUUUUACAGAGACAUCAAUUGUGUUCAAGAGUAUGCUCAGAAAGUUGCUGCCUGUAGAAAUUUCCUCUAUCUUGCACUUCUGAAAUUUUAUUUGACCUCUGUUUUUCCUUCAUCAUUUCUGAAAAAUGAUUUGCCCAUCUAACAUUUGCUUAGAUUUGAGUCUUAGGAGUGAUACAGACGAGCAGCGUCAUGAUAAUAUAUGGCGCCCGUCUUUCUUAUCUUCUAAUGGUCCUCUUACGGUUGGGGACUCUGUGAUGAAGAAUAACAUAACCGCUACUGUGGUAGCUAGGAAUCUUCUCACUCCAAGGGAUAACAAGAUUCAGAACGGUCUGAAGAGUCGACCGUUCAAGACUCCUUGGCUCUCAGUGUUCAGUGUGCUGGCUCUGUGUCCAAUAUGGGCCAACGCUUACUUGCUCAAACUCGCCAAAUUGAAUUAUUGAUGGCGGAGGUGGCAAGUCUUAAACAAGAGAUUAGAGGGCUCAAGCACGAGAAUAGGGUGUUACACGUGCUUGCAAAUAGUUACUCUACGAGCAUGAAAAGAAAGCUCGUCCAACUGCAGGAAUCCGAAAGUCGGAUUCAAAGUGAUCACCAGAGGUUCGUUGCUAGAUUCCGAAAGCAACUGAUGCCUUCCCCUUCUGGUGUUUUGCUAAGUACUGGGGUGCCACAUGAUCAAUCUCCAGUGCCUCCCCCUUCUGGGGUACUUCUGAGUACUGAGGCUUCACAUGAGCAACCUUUGUGAAAGCUCAUCCUGUUUGUUUGUUUUAACUCAUGUGUAUGUAUAUAUCUGUAAUUUCUUGGAGAUAUUAAUAAAUAAGCUUUAUUUCAUUCAAUGUAUUGUGCCAAAUACAAUAAAGCAUAUACUUCACUAAGAUGUGGUACUUCUGGACCAAAUAUUAAUUUAUCUUUACCCUCAUGAAGAUAAAUGAUUAUUCUUAGUGUCUUCAUCAUAUGAGUAUUCAACUCAUAAUCUUCAAUCCAUAUGGUUCUUUUAAUAUCAUAAAUAUCAUGGAUAAGAUUCGUGUUGGUAGAUUGUUCGAUCUGCAGCUCGAGACAAUAAUUCCUUCAACACUUUAUAAUUUUUUCUAGACUCUUCAGGAGUCCCAAUUUAAUAUCAUCAACUCUUCAAGAGUUCUAAUUUUAAUGUCAUUGACUCUUGCAAGAGAUUUUAGUAUGUUGCAACAAUAUUAUAAUGAUAGUACUCACUAAGGCAAUUUUAUAUCAUUCAUUGGUAUUGAGUACAUAUUUUAUGUUUUACCCUUCAGGGGCUUACUUCAAGCAGUUUGAAUCCUUUAGGGAUUUUCUACACUUCAUGACACAUUUUCCUUUGGAAUUUAUACAGAGCAAUUUGCUCCCAUGUAUACUUGAGGGAUUUACUUAUGGAGAUAUGAUGUGAGCGACUCACAACCCUUCGUAUAUAAUUCUCCAUUUAUAUGAACUCGUUUACAAGAGUUCAAUUAGUAAUCUUGUGUCAUAUCAUGUGAGUGUAUUUCACUGUAUUACAAAUGCCCAUAUGUAACCUCCUUGGUUUAACAUCUUUUGGCUAUUUGUAUUUUAUUCAAAUAUAUAGGUCCAUUUUUCCACGUUCUUACAACAUUGUAAUGGAAUUGCCUUUCUCCAUUUUUGGCCAAUAAUUUUCCUUUUGUCGACAAACAAAAGAACGUGACUCAAUAUUAACACAGCUCAUUGAUGAAUUUAGUAGCUACUUGUAAAAACCAAAAUUAUCAUUGGUUAUCAUCAAUCCGUGAUCCCAUAUUCUCAUAUGCAUGCGCAUGCAUAAAAGCUUUUUUUUAUUUCUUUUGGAUAUCCAUUGCCUCUUCAAGGGCAUUAUACUAUCUCUUCCAGGAUAAUCGUAAUUUAGAGAAUUCGGAUCAUAACCUCAUUUUGAGCGUUAUAGAGCUUGGAUUUUAAUCUCCACUUCUAGAAGUUGAGUCAUUGGAACCUAUACGUCUAUCAUGCUACAUGCAAGAGACAUCAAUAUUCCCAUGUCUGCGGAUUGUCCUUUCUAGAACGUAUUAUCCAUGCAGCGACUGUCAAGCUUCUGGCAUGCAACAAUUAUGCUUCAGGAAUGCAAUAGUUCAGUAGUGCCAUAUUCCUUUUUUUUUUUUCGAAUGACUGAACCUUUUGAGUCUAAAGGUCUGCCACGCUUCAGACGUGCAACAGAUAAAUCAUUUACUGCCUCAUUAUAUUGUCCAAUGAGGACAUCAAUUCUUGUAGGCACAUUUGCAGUAAGUAUAUGUGAUUUCAUCACUUUCGUUGCAUCAUUCAAUUAUUCCAAUUUCAUUUUCUCAUUGUUUGUUUCGUGAAUCAAAAUAAGACAAAUUAUCUUCGUUCUUCUGGAACGGUCUUUUCUCAUCAUUCUUCUGGAAUGAUAUUUUCUCAUCGUUCUUCUGGAACGAUGUUAUUUUCUCCCCCUAAUGGCAGGAAAACUGUCUUAUCAAAAUCAUAGUCCGCAAAUCAUGCGGUAGACAUAUCCCCAGUCAAGGGUUCCAAAUAUUGAAUGAUAGAUGGUGUUCAACAUCAAUGCCUAAUCUACGAUGAUGCCUCAUUUCAGUAUGUUGUGGCAGUCUUACAGGCACAUAGAUAACACAACCAAAAACUCGUAAAUGUAUAAUGUUUGGCUAGUUCCCAAACACGAGUUGUACUGAGCAAUAUUGAUGGUUGGAAACUGGUCUCAUCCGAACUUAAUAAUGCGUCAUGUAAAAUGACAUGUCCCCAUGUAGAAAACUGGUAAUUUCGUUUUCAUGAGCAGAGCGCGGGUAAUCAAUUUCAUCCGCUUAAUAAAUGCUUCUGCUAAACCAUUUUAAGUAUGGACAUAAGGAACUUCUGGUCCUUAUUAAAUAGUCUAUGGACUGAGACUUUUAUGACCUUUAUUAUAAUUAAGUUGAGGCACUGUGGCACUUCAAACUUAAGGUACUCAUCAAGGAAUUUCAUGUCCUGAUCUUCAUGAUCAAGGGACUUCAUGCCUGAUCUUUUUGUAUGAUGGAACUUCGGGUCCAAUCAUUUUAUAUGAUGAGGAUCAAGAAACUGCAGGUUCUGAUCUGAUCAAGGAACUUUGGGUCUUAUAUAUACUCAUUGUAACAAAAGAUAAGUACAAUAAAUAAAUUAAAGCAAUAGGCGGUAAUUCCAGCCAUAGUAAAUAAAUUGAACAAUAAAUAAAUUAAAGCUUGUGACAAGGGCUUUAAUUCAGCACCAUUCACAUAAAUCAAAACUUAAAGCAGUAGGCGGUAAAACCGUCCAUGAUAAAUAAAUUGUUUUAAAGUAAAUAGAACUUGUGACAUGGGCUUUAAACCAACACCAUGCACAUAAAUAUCAAAGCUUUAAAGCAAAGGGUAAUAAUUCUACCCACUGUAAAUAAAUUGCUUUAAAUAAAUAGAACUUGUGAAAGUGUUUUAAGCCAACACCAUUCACAUAAAUAAAUCAAAACUUAAAGCAGUAGGCGGUAAAACCGUCCAUGAUAAAUAAAUUGUUUUAAAGUAAAUAGAACUUGUGACAUGGGCUUUAAACCAACACCCAUGCACAUAAAUAUCAAAGCUUUAAAGCAAAGGGUAAUAAUUCUACCCACUGUAAAUAAAUUGCUUUAAAUAAAUAGAACUUGUGAAAGUGUUUUAAGCCAACACCAUUCACAUAAAUAAAUCAAAACUUAAAGCAGUAGGCGGUAAAACCGUCCAUGAUAAAUAAAUUGUUUUAAAGUAAAUAGAACUUGUGACAUGGGCUUUAAACCAACACCAUGCACAUAAAUAUCAAAGCUUUAAAGCAAAGGGUAAUAAUUCUACCCACUAUAAAUAAAUUGCUUUAAAUAAAUAGAACUUGUGAAAGUGUUUUAAGCCAACACCAUUCACAUAAAUAAAUAUAUACAUAUUUUCUUCUUUCUUUUCAGAUGGUGUAACACCAUCCAAAAACCUUUACCUUUAUUUUAUUUUAUUAUUUUCUUAUUCAAUCACAUGCUACAACAUUCCAACAACUUUUGUUUUUAUUUCUUUUAUUUUACAUGGUGCAACGCACCUUUCUAAAUCAUUGGCCCCAUUUCCCCUUUUCUUUGUCUAUCUCUACCAGUCUCGAAACCUAGUACCAGCUGGGUUGUUGUGGGAGUUACACAAAACCAAUUCAAUCCAAAAAGGCUACCAGAGACUGGCGUUGUUCUUGCAUGGCCCAAAGAACAUGGCAUCGCAAAGCAAGAACCUCUCCAUAGAGACAUAGAUGACAGUGAGGUUGACGAAGGCAUAAGAGAGGGAGGCCUGUGUGGGGUUAGUCAUGCCAUCACCAUCUCAGACAACUGAGGAUUCAUGGAGGUCCUCGAGAUCCAUUGACACGAUCUGGGUUUCCAAAUCUAAUGAGAUUCUUCUGGAUCUCUGGAAACCAGUUGUCAGGUACGAGUUUUCUUAUCUCGUGACGACUUUAGGUCGUUGGAAAUUUCAAUUCGCACCGGAAUUCGGUGGGGCGCUUCUGGCGCGGUGGGAGAAACAAAAAAUGGACAUACCUUUGCUUGUUUUGCUGCACCUUUGUUUGUCUGUAAGAUCUCUCCAUCUUUCUUGUCCACGAGAGAAAAAUAGAUUGCAGGUCUAGCAGGGAUAAGGAUUAGCACAUCAAUAGUUAGAGUGAUAAAAGAAAAAGUGAUAAAAGAAAGGUUGAUGGAUUUUUGUGACAAGAUGAUCUUCCCUGUUUGACAUGUCUGGCUUGCCGUCUCUACUCUGUGAGAUUUUAGCUGACCGAGGUGAGAGGUAGAUAAUGCUUCACCAGAUUUAUGAUAUUGUGCUUUCCACUGACAUGAGAGAUUCUCGUGCUGAUAACGUGUUGUAAAAUCGACUGUGGGUGCAGUGGAAUAAAUGAAACAAGACACAAAAUUUACGAGAUUCCUCUACAGUCAGUGUGACUGGAGUACGUCCUCGGGGCAGCAGUGGUGCUUUCAUUAUAAUUUGAAAUAAUAGGAGUACAAAGAUAACUCUCUCUAUUAUCUCCUCUCAUCUUCCUCUAUUCUCUCUCUUCCUCUUCCUUCCUUCCUCUCUUUCUUUCCCGUGAACUCCCCUCACUUCAUUCCUCUUCUUCCUUUAUAUAAACAAAAGAAAGCACUAUUCACUUUACAAAUUUUCCACAAAUGAAUAGUGAAAAUACUGUGCAUAAAUAGUAACAAACUAUUCAUGUGGACCAUCCACGCACUAUUUACAAC